GAUGAACGCUGGCGGCGUGCCUAAUACAUGCAAGUCGAGCGAACAGACGAGGAGCUUGCUCCUCUGACGUUAGCGGCGGACGGGUGAGUAACACGUGGAUAACCUACCUAUAAGACUGGGAUAACUUCGGGAAACCGGAGCUAAUACCGGAUAAUAUAUUGAACCGCAUGGUUCAAUAGUGAAAGACGGUUUUGCUGUCACUUAUAGAUGGAUCCGCGCCGCAUUAGCUAGUUGGUAAGGUAACGGCCUACCAGGGCAACGAUGCGUAGCCGACCUGAGAGGGUGAUCGGCCACACUGGAACUGAGACACGGUCCAGACUCCUACGGGAGGCAGCAGUAGGGAAUCUUCCGCAAUGGGCGAAAGCCUGACGGAGCAACGCCGCGUGAGUGAUGAAGGUCUUCGGAUCGUAAAACUCUGUUAUUAGGGAAGAACAAAUGUGUAAGUAACUAUGCACGUCUUGACGGUACCUAAUCAGAAAGCCACGGCUAACUACGUG
rnacentral:rRNA from 1 species